GGUAUUUUGAACAUUGAGCCCCGUUUCUGGUUUGUCUAGGAUGAAAUAAGAGUGAUUACCAACGAAAUUCUUACUAUUGGUCCUGUCCCGGGUAUUUGGCUAAUUUUGAAUUCUAUAAUUCGAAAUGAUUGAAUUUUCAAAUCGCGUUUUCAGGCCCCCCCUAACCCUAACCGGAAACGGAAAGGGAGACUGGUUGUAGUCUUUUUGCUCGGUUCUCCGUAUCAACCGUAGGGCUAAAACCGAGCGAAAAGACUACAACCAGUAAUCUCCCUUUCCUUUUACGGUUCGGUUUCGGUUUCAAUGAAUUUACAAAAGGCCAAAUAAAACACGGAAUAAACAGUAUUUCGUAUAUAUAUUUUUUUAAUUGGCCAGAUGCACUCAAGCAAUAUUUGCAGAAGCCAGCACCUGCAGGAGAAAGGACACCUGAUCCGUCAUGUUCACCUCUCUCUGAACUUUCUGCAGCAGGAGAAGGGACAUCCAGUAGUAGUACUCAGGGACCAGUGGAACACAGGCCAGGUACACACAGCCUGCAUCAGGUGAAGGUGAAGGGACAUCAAGCACUCAGGGCAUCAGUGAAACACAGACGACUGAGACCAGGGACACGCAGCCUGAAGCAAGUGAAGGGGCCACAUCUAGUAUUCCAGGCACCAGUAAAACACAGACCACUGAGACCAGUGAAGGAACAACAACCGCAACAUGCUCUGCUACUACACUGCCGCCUGCAGACACCUCACCCUCCUCAAUUCCUAAUAUCCAGGAGCACCCAUAGAUCCUGCUGACUGGCCAGCCCUCUGUGAUGCGGUAAGGACUGAGUUAGUUAGUAGAGGACCAUACAAGACCAAUCCAGACUUUACAUUUCCCAAAAGAGAUGAUGGGAGAAGCUGC
ensembl:lncRNA